GUCUAUGGCCAAACCACAUAAAUGCACCCACUCUCAUGUGAUCUCGGAAGCUAAGCAGGGUCAGGUCUGAUUAGUAUUUGGAUGGGAGAAAGAUCUUCAGAGGAGGAUGCUCAGAGACA
rnacentral:rRNA from 1 species